UACUGGGAAACUGACUUCACUGAGGUGAAACCGGCUAGGUGCCGCAUCAGUUUGAAGUAGGAGACGCAGUCCUGGUGAGGAGACACCGAGCGGGAAACCUAGAACCGAGGUGGAAGGGACCCUACUUGGUGCUACUGACAACGCCCACCGCGGUCAAAGUGGAAGGAAUCCCCACUUGGGUCCACGCAUCCCACGUUAAGAGAGCACCCCCUG